GAUGAACGCUGACGGCGUGCCUAAUACAUGCAAGUCGAGCGAACGGACGAGAAGCUUGCUUCUCUGAUGUUAGCGGCGGACGGGUGAGUAACACGUGGAUAGCCUACCUAUAAGACUGGGAUAACUUCGGGAAACCGGAGCUAAUACCGGAUAAUAUUUUGAACCGCAUGGUUCAAAAGUGAAAGACGGUCUUGCUGUCACUUAUAGAUGGAUCCGCGCUGCAUUAGCUAGUUGGUAAGGUAACGGCUUACCAAGGCAACGAUGCAUAGCCGACCUGAGAGGGUGAUCGGCCACACUGGAACUGAGACACGGUCCAGACUCCUACGGGAGGCAGCAGUAGGGAAUCUUCCGCAAUGGGCGAAAGCCUGACGGAGCAACGCCGCGUGAGUGAUGAAGGUCUUCGGAUCGUAAAACUCUGUUAUUAGGGAAGAACAUAUGUGUAAGUAACUGUGCACAUCUUGACGGUACCUAAUCAGAAAGCCACGGCUAACUACGUG
rnacentral:rRNA from 1 species